CAGGGUUGGAACAAGAAGGGCUUCCUGGGCUUUUCCAUGUAAAAUGCUCAACAGAAGAACGGACCCAGGAAUGUCAGGAGGAGGAGAGCUUCAGACACAGGGAGAGGUUUCCAAAGAAAGGCCAGAGCAGAAGAGAAGAUCAGGAAGAAAGGGCGUUGGUGUGUAGAUUGUUCUAGCAGCGUGGGUCCGGCCACCCUCCACCAUACUUGCACACGCCGAGCAGGGCCGGGGGAAAGCUGGGGACAGAGAUGCCACCGUGGUACCCGUGAGCCUUCAGAAAUCACUGGCCUUUGGGAGCCAUGAGAGUCAGGCUGAGUCCAAAAACAGAGACGUGAAAGGCUGCCUUAUGCCAACCCCAAGGGCCCUGAUCGUUCACUUAACAACAGUGCCAUGGACCCUGAGAGUACCAAAAAUAAAAAGUCCCGGGGCUGGAGAGAUGGUGAAGCAGGCAAGCAUACAUACUGUUCUUACAGAUGACAAGUUUGAUUCCCAACACCCACAAGAGGAGUCUCACAACCUUCUGGACGUCCAGCUCCAGUGAGAUCAGAUACUGCUGACCUGAGGGGGACCUGCAUAUACCACAACUACCCCCCACCCCCAUCCCCGCA